GUGGUCGUAGUUCAAUGGUAGAGCCCCGGCUUGUGAUGCCGGUUGUUGGGGGUUCGAAUCCCCUCGACCACCCCA
rnacentral:tRNA from 4 species